rnacentral:misc_RNA from 1 species
GCAGAUGAACUUCCUUUUAAGUCCUUUCCACAGCAGAGAACAAGUUCUCAAAGAUAACAAAGACGACUAUGGCAUGCUUUUGCCGGAGCCACCUUGUCGGAAUUCCUGGUAGUCCCUGUUUUUCCGAGAAGCCAAACCGAAGCUACUGCCACCACUCUUGGCGAAGCGUCUUCUUGGGAAAAAGCCAAAAUUUUCAACAACGGGAAAUGGUGAAGUUGGGAGUGAGAACAAGGCCCAUGAUAGUGAUCAGGUGCGAGAAAGUGGUGGGGAUCGACUUGGGAACGACGAAUUCUGCGGUAGCGGCGAACGAGGGUGGGAAACCAGUUAUAGUGACGAACUCGGAAGGGC